UACGGAGGGGGCAAGCGUUGUUCGGAACUACUGGGCGUAAAGGGCUCGUAGGUGGCCAACUAAGUCAGACGUGAAAUCCCUCGGCUUAACCAAGGAAGUGCAUCCGAAACUGCAGAGCUUGAGUACUUAAGAGGAUCGCGGAAUUCCCGGUGUAGAGGUGAAAUUCGUAGAUAUCGGGAGGAACACCAGUGGCGAAGGCGAGUCUCUGGCUGAUACCGACGCUGAGGCGCGAAAGCCAGGGGAGCAAACAGG
rnacentral:rRNA from 1 species